GACGAACCGAGCGAACGUUGUUCGGAAUCACUGGGCUUAAAGGGUGCGUAGGCGGGCUGCCAAGUUUGGGGUGAAAUCCUCCGGCUCAACCGGGGAAGUGCCUCGAAUACUGGCGGUCUGGAGGGAGGUAGGGGCGUGCGGAACUAACGGUGGAGCGGUGAAAUGCGUUGAUAUCGUUAGGAACUCCGGUGGCGAAGGCGGCACGCUAGACCGCUUCUGACGCUGAGGCACGAAAGCCAGGGGAGCGAACGGG
rnacentral:rRNA from 1 species